UCAUUCAGUUGGGCACUCUAGCGAGACUGCCGGUAAUAAACCGGAGGAAGGUGGGGAUGACGUCAAAUCAUCAUGCCCCUUAUGACCUGGGCUACACACGUGCUACAAUGGUUGGUACAACGAGUUGCGAGUCGGUGACGGCGAGCUAAUCUCUUAAAGCCAAUCUCAGUUCGGAUUGUAGGCUGCAACUCGCCUACAUGAAGCCGGAAUCGCUAGUAAUCGCGGAUCAGCAUGCCGCGGUGAAUACGUUCCCGGGCCUU
rnacentral:rRNA from 1 species